UUCUUAUCAAGAGAGACGGAGGGACUGGCCCUAUGAUGUCCGGCAACCAGAAGAUUUUUAUUUCAUGGUGCUAAUUCCAGCAGGUAUUAAUAUGAAAAGCCUGAUAGAUAAGAG
rnacentral:ncRNA from 2 species